AAAGGGAAUGGAAAGUAGUUAAAUGAGAAGGAAUGUCUUUGCCAUGGGCUGCAGCUGCUUGAAAUGCAUUGGGAUCCUCAAGAGAAGAGACAAGUAAUAGAUUACAGAGCUUUGGUGCAAGCAAAGGGACCCGUUUCCAGUCGUCUUAACCAAAAUUGCAGUAACUGCAACAGGUGAGACAUGGCUUGUGGCCCCGAGAUGGCAAACUGGUUCACAGGCUGCAGUGUCUGUAUCAGUUCCUAAAGCUGCUUGUAGGAAUUCACCCAGCCUAAAGAACCUCCUGGGAUCCCAGCUUCUACAUUCCCAUUUCAAAAUGCAUGGGUAAGAGAAAACAAUUUAUAUUCAUAACCUUAAGUAAAUAAAUUGUCACUUUAACUACA